CGCUGCGAAGCGCACGGCCCGUCGCUCGUCGCUCGCUUUACUUUUAAUACGAAAGUAAACAAAUGUUAUGUGAUAAUAGAAACUUUAGAUUAGCAUGUAAUGUGGUUUGAAAACUGACGGGGGCCUGUCUACUCGAACUAAAGAUGAAAGCGUGGACUGCGCAUGAGCAAGACACAACACUAUCUUGUUGUAGGACGCUACACGUCAAACACGCUGCGUAUGCCAGUGCCCUCUAUACCUUGAAUAUAUCUAUACUCGUGGUGCUGUUGUAUAGUUGGAGGAUCGGCGUCAAUGCCAAAAGGUAUAAGGAGCUUGAUGAUGUUUAUUAUGGUG